UGUAAAUAUAGAACAAAAAAACAACUACAUUGUCCCUAUACCAUAAAUUGAUCUAUACAUUGUCCAUAUAGUAUAAUCUUUUGUGUUAACCCAAUUAAGCCCUCCUAAUUUAUAAUCCAAUAAUUGAUAUAAUUAUAUAUAAAACACAACAAUUUAUAAAAUUAAAUAAAGGUAAAAACAAAAUAAAUACAUCUUCCCGAUGAACCCUAAGCCCUUUUUAUUACUGCAACUUUGAUCAUAUCUUUAGGUGCCAUUGAUCCCAAAGGAGAAGUCAACGGAGCUGAAAACCAAGAUCCUUAUUUUUCUGGCAAGUUUGGAACCCACGCGUCGCUCCCUCCGACUUAAAAUUAAAUCUCCGUGCAUUGGUAAAGAAAGUAGCAAUAGAGAGGAGCACCCUGAAAAAGAAGAAACAAAGGCUAUAGAUGAACCUGAUGGUGUGCAUGAAUCACAAGCCCUCUCAUUGGCUCAUAUCAAAACUCUAGCAGCCAACUCCAUGUACUGAAUCUGUCAAACCAUUCUGCUCAUGCACGAAACAAGAGAUUGUAGAACAGGAGAUCUCUCUUAAGAAAGCUGGAUACCACAAUCUCGGACAUAGUUUCAGAUUGUUUUUGCAACGUCGUACAUGUUAAAAUCUAGAUUAUUUGUUAACCCAAACUAUUGAUCUGUAUUUUACUAUCAAGUGGUUCAAAACAGUCUUUGUUCUUUCCUUGUUAUGCUUUUGUGAGAAAGCACUGAUCUUCGAUGAUUAGCUUAAUAA